GCAAAAUCUUAUGUGCAGAUCUAAAUCGAGUGCUUCAAAGUUCCGCAGAUAGGUAUUGAAAAGAUCUACAACUUGGCGUUGGUCUCAUCCUCAAAUUCGUUACGGAUUUUGCAUGAUCAAGAUCUGGUCAGAUCUGACUUUGUCGAAUUAAACCUGGAGCUUGGAAAUGAAUUUUUGAAUGAAACCAACUGGGGGAUACUUAGUUGUGCCAUGGUGAUACCGAGAGAGGCAAUUGCUAAGUUAUGAUACUCUCAUACCUUUACUAGAUGCGAACGAUUCCGGAGAAGAAGAAGAAGUGGUUCGGACAAGGAUUUUAUUUAUAUUGACGGGAUUCUUAUAUUGAUGAAGUUGAAGAAGUCCAGGGACAAAUAAGCCAAGGCAAGCCAUCUUUUGAUCUCUGAUAUGAUGUCUCUUUGGAUGUCAUCUUGUGCUAUCAAUAGCAUCUUGGUUCUAUGUGUGAUGAUCUCCAUAUUGUUGUCAUCUAUGCUUGGAUGCAAGCAUGGUACCUCUAGUAGUUUUAUCUUGU